AAUAAACAGUCAAGGUUGUGUAACCUGCAAUUAGUAAUGGACUUUUAUUUUUGCGGGCCCACUUCCUGUUUGCCCCAAACUCCGCUAGCUUAUUUAAAGCCACGCCUCCAGCGCGCAGUUUAAAGAUCCUCACCUGUUUCCACUGUGGUUGUGGCUUGUUGUUGGCGUCUUCUUCACGGAGUCAUCAAAAUCUUUAAGCCCACUGAUUUGAUUGCCUGAAUUAUUGGCGGUGUUACCUGGAUGUCGCCGGGGUUCUGGCACAGCUGAUUGUGGCUGGGCGUGCCCACUCUCUUGAUAAGGUCGGGUUUUUUUUUUCCGGUUGGAUCAGAUCCUCAUCAGGAUUUGAAGAUGGCGAGCUAAGGAAAAGAACUCUGAACUUAAUGAUUUUGCAAUUAAUUUAUUCUGGGUCAAUUGUCUUGUCUCAUUGUGUUGUUGUAAUUGUUGUUUUAUUCAAAUCACUUAAUAUAUAUUCACCAAAACUAAAAACACUGCCUCCUGUUUUCUCCACACCUCGGGCUCCUAAAAGAACACUCUUCUGAUGCUGCUUUGGUAGCCGCAGUUAGCUGCCUAGCCCAUAACUGUUACAUUGUUGGCGAGCUAGCCAGGAGCCUGAUACUGUGAAUGUUUUGGUGGAUGUGUUUUGUGGUUUGUAUUGAAAUAUGGAUUUCUUUGACCAAAUUGGUAUCAAUGUUGCAAAUUCUGUCAUCAUUAGUGGUGUAACGAACACUCAAGCAGAUGAUGAGAUCAUCAAUUAUUUACGUGGUUAUGGUGGAAUUAAGGUUUUUACUGUUACUGCACGUGAGAAUCCAUUUUAUAAAAACCUGGCCGUUGAAUUCAGUAAUUCUGCAGAUUUGGAAAAGCUAAAAUCGCUUUUGCCAUACGUUUAUCCAUCUCAGGUUACAGAAGAUGUUAUAUUUGUUGUUAAAUUACUUUCAAGAGAGUGCCCUGCCACAGCCACAGUGGACACAACCUUACCUCCCGAUUACCUUCAUGAACUGAAACGUAUUUCCCAGCAGAGUGGACAAUCAUUUGAUGAUGUUUUGAAAGGAGUUUUUGAACAAAUAAGUGCUCAUUUAGGAAUAGCAGCUAGUGGAGGGAAGCCUGAUAAAGAUGAUGAAGGGGAUGAUGAGGAGGAGGAUAUUGUUGAAGUACUUAACACUGAAAGAGAGUCUAGUCAGACUCCGCCACCUACUCUUCCCUCAAAUCAAUCAGAUCAGUCCACCACCUACCAGCAAGGACCACAAACUCAACCAAAUCCAACUACAAAUGUGGGGCCGAGAAUUUUCCUUUCGGGGAAUGAUCUGAAUCCUUCUGAGGUCCAAAGGGUUGUUGUGGAACACAUUGAGAGAUGAUGUAAAUCUUCAACCUCUGUCUUCAUUCAGACUACGUACCUUUUCAGGAAGACUUCCAAAACCUCAGCAUGAGGCAGAUUAUGAAUCCUGGAGGUCUCAAAUAGAACUUUUAAAUGCAGAUCCAAGUCAUGCACCCUUACAUGUUACAAGGCGCAUUUUGGAAGGUUUACUCCCUCCAGCUGCUGACCUAGUGAAGGGUUUGGGGCCUGAUGCCCUGCCUGCCACAUUUUUGCAGGUACUCGAUUCUGCAUAUGCUACUGUUGAGGAUGGAGAAGAAUUGUUUGCAAAAUUUUUAAACACACUUCAGGACCAUGGGGAACGACCUUCUUCUUAUCUGCAGAGACUCCAAUUGGCUCUCAGCACAGUGGUGAAGCGUGGUGGGAUUCCAGCCACUGAAAUGGACAAAUAUUUGUUAAAACAAUUUUGUAGAGGUUGCUGGGAUAAUAGUAUGAUAAACAAACUGCGACUAGAAAAGAAAAAAGAUCAACCACCUCCUUUCUCUGAGCUUUUAUUAACACUUAGAACAGAAGAAGAUAGGCAGUUGGCAAAAGAGAUGUUAAUGAAAAAACAUAUUCCAUCAGUCAAGCAUCGUGUCAAUGUACAAGCUCACACUACUAGUGCAUGUUCAUGUGGCCAUCCAUCAGACUCGGGUGCUAUUGAAGACUUGAGAAAGCAAAUGCUGAAGCUGCAGAGUCAAAUGUCAGCUUUGCUGUCUAAGGACUCUAAUUCUGUUAAACCAGAAAAUCAGCUGAAAAAACAGAAACUAAAAUCUGGCCAAACUAGUAGUAGGCCAAAGCCCUGGUUCUGCUUUAAGUGUGGACAGGAUGGUCACAUUGCUCCCAACUGUUCCAGUCAGCCAAAUUCCAGCUUGGUUGAAGAAAACGCCAGCUUAAACACAAACAGCAGUCCUGGGAGAAAAGUAAAUCAUCAAACUAGAAGCAGUUCUUACUGAGGGACAAGUGGGAGCUGCAACCAAUGAAUGUCCCCCCAUUCAAGACUCAUCUUCUUAUUUUCCAUUACCUAAAGGGUUAGUGGGCACAAGGAGUACUGGCGAGGUGAAGAUUAAAGGGAUCAAUUUUCAUUGCCUCUUAGACACAGGUUCCCAAGUCACCACAAUUUCACAUUCCUUCUAUAACACCCAUCUAUCGGAUCAUAAAAUAAAACCCAUAAAUGAUCUUUUGGAGGUAGAAGGUGCAAAUGGUCAGAGGGUGCCUUAUAUUGGAUAUGUGGAACUCUGUUUGACAUUUCCCUCUGAGUUCACAGGAGAAGAGAUGGACAUAAACACCUUGGCCUUGGUUGUUCCAGACCUGCGAUCAUCCCAACCCCCUGUUCUGAUUGGCACCAACACUUUGGAUGUUGUGUAUAACCAGUGCUGUCAGUCACAGUCUGAGUUCCAUCCUGUGCCUUUUGGAUAUAGAGCAGUGCAUAAAAUUUUGGAGAUAAGGCACAAACUAACAACUGAUGACUAUCAUGGCAUUCUAAAAAUGCAGUCAUCUAUCCCCCAGGUUGUUCCUGCUCAGAGAACUGCUGUGUUGGAUGCUCUUCUUAUAUGCCCAUUACUGCAAGGUGAAAAAGAAGUAAUUAUUCAGCAUCCAACCUCCUUUUCUCUACCUGGUGGUUUAAUGGUAAAAUCAAGCCUUUUUGAUCUACCUCCUGUACAGCCUGCUUCUCUGCCAGUGGUGAUCACUAAUGAAUCUGACCAUGACAUUGUGAUUCCAGUUAGAGCCGCUAUCGCUGAAGUCAGUACAAUCCAAACCAUACUUUAUAAAGAACAGAGUGUGCAUCAACCUUCCCAUAGUUCAGAGCUAAAUCCAACUAAGUUGAACUACAAUUUUGGAGACUCUCCGCUCUCAACUGAAUGGAAGCAACGUAUAACAAUCAUGCUCGACAGUAUGUCAGAUGUUUUUUCAAAGCAUGAUCUUGAUUUUGGUCGUACAGAUAAGGUCAAGCAUGAGAUCAAGCUGUCGGAUCCCACUGCUUUUAAACAGCGACCAAGACCCAUUCACCCCCUAGAUGUGGAUGCUGUACGUAAACACAUUCAAGAACUGUUGCAGUCUGGUGUUAUACGUGAAUCCAACUCACCUUUUGC